rnacentral:lncRNA from 1 species
AAAUCAAAUGGAGUUUUAAUCAAUCACUCCACAAUCUCCCCCUUUUUGAUGAUGACAAAACUUUGAGUAUAUGUAAAAUGACUUGCUCAAUAAAUAAUGAAAUAAAAACCAUAAAUGAAUUCAAAUGUCUGAUAAUUUAAUUUAUCCAAGUUUGAAAGGAGUGAAACAAUAAAUUUCGGAGUUAAAGCUCCCCCUUUCAUUUGGAAUUAUAUAAGCCUUCAUAUUAUGCAAUGAAUUGUUUGGCUUAUAUGUCAUUAAUGAUUUAGCUUGAUUAAAAUUCAGAUUCUCUCCCUUUUACACAUUUUAUACAUAUUUCUCCCCCUUUUUGUCAUCAUACCAAAAAGGAGGUAAACAACCACAAUCAAUGGCACAAACAAUCAUCAAAUGGCACAUAAUUGAAGAUAAGAUGUCUACUCAUUGUAUUGAUAUGAAUUGAAGUAGAUUUGAGCAUACAAUAAGUAAAGUAAAACAAUACAAAACAGAACUCAAACACA